CACACACACACACACACACACACACACACACCGGCCUAAUGAAUGCUUUUUGUAAGAGCGAAAUGCGAGGGGAUCAGAAAGAAGGGAAUGAUUAACUCUAGAGACAGGAGUCUCGUUCCCAAGGAGCCACUUUGAAGCUGGUUAUUUAGGAUUUCAUCAGGCAGAGGCAAAGUCUGUAGCAUUCCAAGACCAAAAGAAACAACCGCCUGCCUGUGCAGUUGCCAAGCAAACCACACCCUGUUCAGUCCUAUUGUAUCCGCAAGGGCCUAUUUUUAUUCAUUGUCCUCAUAACCACUUUUUAAAACAAAAAGAGAAUGUGGGCUAAGUCCCUUCUUUGAAAUCAGGUAUUUUAUAGGACAAAGAAAGGAGACUCUGAUUGUGGAUUUGUGGAGGUUGACUUCUAGUGAGUCCAGAAUUCCCCCAAGGAGUAGAAACGGAUGCUCUUCCCUUCCCUUUUUCUGAAAACUGCACCGAGGCUGCCUAGUAUGUUGCCAGGGGCCCUCUGAGCUCAGAAGAAAGCAAGAGGGGAUGACACCCCAACCACAGGCACCGCUUUUGUGACAAGCAUGCCCGGACCAGGAAUGAGGGCCCUGCUUCCUCCCUUUGCUGACCUUCAGAUCCCUCUAGGAGAGCAGGCAUCACCCAGCCUCCCUCCCAGACAAGCCCUGCUAGGCCUCUGAGACCAGAGCUUGCAGCUUCUGAGUGGGAGGAAAAAACCUCUCGGGAAAGCAGCCAGGACAGAGGAAAGGCCAGCAGGCACCUACCGAAGGGCACAGGGGUCCCCGUUCUCCCCGUGGCACAUCCACUGGGAAGCAGGGAAGUGGGAAACAGCCUCCCAGCCUCCCACUCUGCACCCUCUUCCUUGUUUUUCCCAGGAAGCCUCUACCUUGCAGACCCUGCCAGAAGGCCCGCGGCAUUUUCAUGAAGCAGUAAUAACAAGGACAGAGCGUUCUAGCCUGCUGGAGCCUGCUGGCUGGUCACUCUUUCCAUUGCCUUUUGUUUUCAUGCAUCGUUCCUCUCACUUGCUUCUCAGAUUCCUCGGGGCUUUGAAAAAGCCACACAGUGACAUCACCCAGCGGGCUGGCAGGCAUCUCUGACAUGCACGCGGCCCGAAGCAUUGACGCGCAUCUAGAGCUUCCAGAAAGGGACCACCUCCUAUCAGCCUAGCUGGCAGAGUGUCUAACACGGUGCCUCAGUGAGUAAGCAGCAAUGAAUCAUUAUGAAGAGUACACCAAGUUCAGAAAUAUGAAAUUGACAAGCUGGUUAUAAAAGUCAUAUGGAAGGAUAGCUCAGAAUAGGCAUAAUAACCUUGAAAAAGAACGAAGAUGGAAGAUGAGUAUUUCCAGUUCAAAACCUACAUAAUCUGACAUAAGAUAUAAGAGUACCUAUAGAAACCAGCAAAAAACUGAUGGUGUCGAGAUAAACCAGCAUAUUAUGGUCAAUUUUAGACAAGGUGCCAAAACAACUUCAUAGGGGAAAUUUGUUGGGUUUUACUUGUUUGUUUGGCUUUAGCACUGGGGUCUGAACCUCAUAUACACUAGGUAAGCACUCUACCACUGAGCUGUUCCCUUGUUCCUCAGCUCUCAUUGUCUAUUUGGACAUGAGGUCUUAAUAAUUAUCCAUGCUGGCUGUGAGCUCAUUCUGUAUCCUGUGCUGGUCUUGACCUUGCAAUUCUCCUGCCUCAGCCUCCCAACUAGCUGGUAUUAUAGGAUUUGUGGUGUGGGCUCAGCUAAAACUAUUUUUUCAAAAAAUGGUGCUAGGACAGCUAAUUAUUUACAUGCAAAAGAGUAAAGUGGGGCUCUCUGCACUAUACUCCUCCCCCACAUUCUAUGCAAAGUACAGUAUGUAUGUGUAAAAAUGUCACAA